GACGAACGCUGGCGGCGUGCCUAACACAUGCAAGUCGAACGGAAAGGCCCUGCUUUUGUGGGGUGCUCGAGUGCCGAACGGGUGAGUAUCACGUGUGUAACCCGCACUUGACUUUGGGAUAACUUCAGGAAACUGGGGCUAAUAUCGGAUAGGAGCUCCUGCUGCAUGGUGUGGGUUGGAAAGUUUCGGCGGUUUGAGAUGGACUCGCGGCUUAUGAGCUUGUUGGUGGGGUAGGGGCAUACCAAGGGUUUGACGGAUAGCCGGCCUGGGAGGGGGACCGGGGACAUGAGUCCUGAGGUACGGCGCAGACGCGAACGGGCGGCAGCGGGGGGGAAUAUUGCACAGUGGGCGGGAGCCUGAGGCGGAGACGCCGCGUGCGGGAUGACGGGCUUCGGGUGGUAAACCGCUUUCGCCUGUGACGAAGCGUGAGUGACGGUAAUGGGUAAAGAAGCACCGGCUAACUACGUG
rnacentral:rRNA from 1 species